UACAGAGGUCUCGAGCGUUGUUCGGAUUCAUUGGACGUAAAGGGCGCGUAGGCUGCGGGGCAAGUCGGGUGUGAAAUCUCAGAGCUCAACUCUGAAACUGCACUCGAUACUGCUUUGCUUGAGGACUGGAGAGGAGAUUGGAAUUCACGGUGUAGCAGUGAAAUGCGUAGAUAUCGUGAGGAAGACCAGUGGCGAAGGCGGAUCUCUGGACAGUUCCUGACGCUGAGGCGCGAAGGCCAGGGGAGCAAACGGG
rnacentral:rRNA from 1 species